CCCCAACAACUCUCAGCAUGGUAAUCAUUGUGCAAAUAUCAUAGAACGUACUUACACAAAUCUAGAUUAGAUGGUAUAGCUUACUACAGAACUAGGAUACAUGGUAUAGCCCGGGUGCUCCUAGGUUAUAAAGCUGUACAGCAUGUUACUAUACUGAAUGAAUACUGUAAGCAACUGUAACAAAGUGUAAGUAUUUAUACAUCUAAACCUAGAAAAGGUACAGUGAAAAUAUGGUGGUAUAAUCUUAAAUGACUAUUGUCAACUAUGAUCUCGUUGACUGAAAUGUCAGCAUGCGGCACAUGACUGUAUAACCAGACUUCUCAUCAAAAACAAAUGCUGAAAGAAAAACACAUCAACUAACCAAGAAAAAAGAAACAUAUAUGUCCACACAGAGACUUCUUUUUUUACACAAAUGUUCAUUGUACCUUUUUAUAAUAGCUGGGAACUGAAAACAGCCUGGAACUGAAAACAGCCCAGGUGUCCCUUAACAGAUGAAGUCACAAACCACCGAAACAUUCAACAAUAUGGAUGAAUCUCAAAAACAUUAUGUUGAGCAAAAAGAAACUUUUUACAACAUAUAAGUAUUGUAUGACUCUACUUACAUAAAGUUCUGCGCAAGCUAAACUAAGAUGAAAACAAUCUGAACAAUGUUAGGUUCUAGGGGUGGUGUGGGGGGAAGGAAUAACUAGGAAGAGGUGUAGGUUCUAUACCCUGAUAGAACUUUCUGGCAAAGGUGUAUACAUUUGUCACAGCUCAUGAAAUGGUAUAUGUGGUCAACUGUAUUUUCCAAAGAUGGUCACAAUAGAAGCCAUUCCACAUGCUCUUAACAAUGUAACACUGUCAUUUUUUCAUCAGGUGGUGGAGUCUAUGGCCCUUCUCCUUGAAUCUGAGUGAAAUUAGUGAGUCUUUCAAUCCAAAGACUACAGUCAUACCUCAACUAUCUACAGAGGACUGGUUCCAGGACUCCCAUGGAUCCCAAAAUCCAAGGAUGCUUCGAAUCCCUUAUAUAAAAUGGCAUGGUAUUUGCAUAUAACCUACAUGCAUCUUCAAAUAUGUUAAACCAUCUCUAGAUUACUUAUAAUACCAAAUACAAUGUAAUGCUAUGUAAACAGUUGUUACAAUGUAUUGUCAAAGACAAGCUCUCCUUGCCAAUCCCUGACCAAAUGAGAGAUUCAUGAGCAAAAUAAAUAGUUGCUGAUAUUUAAGGCACUAAGUUUGGGGCAAUGUAUUACACAGCAAUAAAUAACUGGAACAGCAUAGUAAAUUCUAGUUAAAAAUACUAAACUACUAAGUUUUAGUUAACAUACAUGCUCAAGUUAAGGGUGUGGUAUACUAACAACUGCAACUUACUUUGAAAAGCAUAAAAAAAGACACUAGAAGAAGACAGGAUGGAUAGAUGGACAAGAUAGAAGACAAUAACAAAUAGAACAAAAUGUUGUGAAAUUAUAUUCUACAAUUAUUUUAAAGUCUGUGUGGUUUGAAAAAUUGUACGAUAAAAUGAAGAGUGAAAUAA
rnacentral:lncRNA from 1 species